GUUCUUUCUUGUGUUGUUCCUCCAGUUCAUGUCUGACUCUGUUCUCUUGAGUUCUCACAUACAUCUGAACUGAAUAGGGUUCAGUCUUCAUGUUCUCUAUAUAAUCCAGCAGUUCUGGGAUCUGUCUGGAGUUUACAGGUUCCUUUAAUCCAAUCACUUUAUAUCGACCCCCACAGAGGCUCUGAGAGUCAACGA